UGAAACCGUUUAGGGGUAAACCUGAGAAACCCGAAAGGUCGAAGGGAGAAAUUCAUUCGCGUUUCGAGGCAGGCCGCGGACGGGAUCGUUGACGAGAGACGUGUUCGCACGUUUCGCGCUCGUCUCGUUCGUGGAUCCGGUCGCGAACGUGUGCACUUUUCUCCUGGUAGGACGUCGCGAUCCGUUGGGUGUCGGUCUACGGCGUAGAGUGGAGUCCGUCGGAUUUUCUUCCGGCGAACCUCAAUUGCCCGACCGGCUCGCCCGACGGUAUAUGAAAGGUUCGAGGCCGCUCUCGGAGCGUCCGACCCGUGGCAAGCUUGUAAUUGGUGUCGGUGAUCGGACCUGGUGCCGAUUCUGACCCGUUGCUACUGUUGGCCGCGGUGUUCUCGGACAGACCUCUUAGUAACCGAUCUGCGACGCUAUAGCUUUGGGUACUUUCAGGACCCGUCUUGAAACACGGACCAAGGAGUCUAGCAUGUGCGCGAGUCAUUGGGAUUCACUAAACCUAAAGGCGCAAUGAAAGUAAAGGUCUUCCUUGCGGAGACCGAGGGAAGACGGGCGGUUCGGCCUUAAAACCGACCGUUCAGCAUUCCCGGGGCGUCUCGUUCUCAUCGCGAGAAGAGGCGCACCAAGAGCGUACACGCUGGGACCCGAAAGAUGGUGAACUAUGCCUGGUCAGGACGAA
rnacentral:rRNA from 1 species